UUUUCGUCAAUGGGGGGAACCCUGAACGAGCAAUGCCGCGUGAGUGAAGAAGGCCUUCGGGUCGUAAAGCUCUGUUGUAAGAGAAAAACGGUCAUUAUAGGGAAUGAUAAUGAAGUGAUGGUAUCUUACUAGAAAGCCACGGCUAACUACGUGCCAGCAGCCGCGGUAAUACGUAGGUGGCAAGCGUUAUCCGGAAUGAUUGGGCGUAAAGGGUGCGCAGGCGGUCCAGAAAGUCUGUAGUAAAAGGCAUUGGCUCAACCAAUGUAUGCUGUGGAAACUGAUGGACUAGAGUGCAGGAGAGGGCAGUGGAAUUCCAUGUGUAGCGGUAAAAUGCGUAGAUAUAUGGAGGAACACCGGUGGCGAAGGCGGCUGCCUGGCCUGUAACUGACGCUGAGGCACGAAAGCGUGGGGAGCAAAUAGG
rnacentral:rRNA from 1 species